rfam:Flavobacterium fryxellicola strain DSM 16209 FBFR11, whole genome shotgun sequence.
UUCUAGCCCUGAUUACAGUGAAAAUCCUUUUUUAUCCGCUUCUUUAGCGGGAAAAAAGAUUGCAACGGAAAGCAGGAAACAGC